GUAGGGUGGCAAGCGUUGUCCGGAAUUAUUGGGCGUAAAGCGCGCGCAGGGCGGUCCUUUAAGUCUGAUGUGAAAGCCCACGGCUCAACCGUGGAGGGUCAUUGGAAACUGGGGGACUUGAGUACAGAAGAGGAAAGCGGAAUUCCAAGUGUAGCGGUGAAAUGCGUAGAGAUUUGGAGGAACACCAGUGGCGAAGGCGGCUUUCUGGUCUGUAACCGACGCUGAGGCGCGAAAGCGUGGGGAGCAAACAGGAUUAGAUACCCUGGUAGUCCACGCCGUAAACGAUGAGUGCUAAGUGUUAGGGGGUUUCCGCCCCUUAGUGCUGCAGCUAACGCAUUAAGCACUCCGCCUGGGGAGUACGGCCGCAAAGGCUG
rnacentral:rRNA from 1 species